CUAGUCCUUAGAGCCACCGACCCGUCUGUCCCAAACCACAAAGGUGAAGAGAUUAAUAUUCAUAUGUCCGAGCUGCACCCACCUCUUCCACCCUCUCCCUUAUUGUCCUCCAGGGGGGAGCCUCACAGCUGUAACCCAGGACUGGGGUUAAUUGAUGGGCCUGAGAUUCCCUCCGUCAGGGCUGGCUGCUAGUCAGCCAGUGUAAAAGUAUUAAUAAUGAAAAAUGACGGCGCCAGUGUUUCCUCGUGCAUGUAGGAAAUGAGCUUCUCUUAAUUAGGCCCCAGAGCUCCUUAACGUGUGUAAUGAGCUUCUUCUCUCUGUGUGCUGACUGUCACAGGGCCAGAGCCGGCGCCCUCACUACACCACCACCACUGUCCAUCCAGAUUGGACAAUGGAUAGACGACACAGCUUCUCAGUUAUGGUGAUGGUGAUAACCGGGAAAACAGAUCUGCAAGUCUGACUCAUCCAGGGAUAAACAUCAGGGAACAUCACCAUGUACGGCGUCCAUAUUAGGACAGCCUUAAUCUCAGCAGGACUUUCCUAAUAUGGAUACCUCAACAAUGGACUGACUAAGAGCCCAAGUCAAUAAAUAUUAUACUGAGAUCUGCUUGUCUCAGCCUCAGUCCUGCUGAAUCCCGAGAACACAGGAGCUACAGAGAUGGAGGGAAAACGGGGCGAAUCGAUUUGGAAAAUAAUGAACUACACACUGAGCAAUAUCAGGAGGAUUUGGCCUCGGUUAUAUCUCCUUAUUUUUCUGAUGUUAUCUGCAGCGGUAUGGCGGACAGCCUGAAGAGAGAGGCGCCGCUUUCCACCGACUGCCAGGUCCCGAAACACCUGCCCCUUCUCACCUGGAGGUUCUACUGCAGUCGAUGAAACACACACACACGCUCUCUCACACAC